AUGGCCUGGACCCCUCUCCUGUUUGUUCUCCUCUCUCACUGCACAGGAUCCUGGGCCCAGUCUGUGCUGACUCAGCCACAGUCAGUCUCUGGGAAUCUGGGCCAGAGGGUCACCAUCUCCUGCACUGGAAGCAGCUCCAACAUCGGGGAUCAUGGUUAUGUGCACUGGUAUCAACAGCUCCCAGGAACAGGCCCCAAACUCCUGAUAUAUAGUAACUUAUUUAGUAGCAACAAGCGACCCUCAGGGGUCCCUGAUCGAUUUUCGGGCUCCAGGUCUGGUAGCACAGCCACCCUGACCAUCGCUGGUCUCCAGCCUGAGGAUGAGGCUGAUUAUCACUGCCAGUCCUAUGACAACAGUCUGAGUGGUCCCACAGUGCUCCAGGCCUGUGGGGAAAGUUGGACUAUGAUCCACCACCUAACAGCUCCUGGGUCUCCUCCAAAGGACAGGGCCAUCUGGUACGAGUAG